UACGUAGGGCGCAAGCGUUGUCCGGAAUUAUUGGGCGUAAAGGGCUCGUAGGCGGUUUGUCGCGUCGGGAGUGAAAUCCUACGGCUUAACUGUGGGCUUGCUUUCGAUACGGGCAGACUAGAGGUAUGCAGGGGAGAACGGAAUUCCUGGUGUAGCGGUGAAAUGCGCAGAUAUCAGGAGGAACACCAGUGGCGAAGGCGAGUCUCUGGGAUGAUGCUGACGCUGAGGCGCGAAAGCCAGGGGAGCAAACGGG
rnacentral:rRNA from 1 species